rnacentral:rRNA from 1 species
AGGGAAAGUUGAAAAGCACUUUGAAAAGAGAGUGCAAGAGAACGUGAAACCGUUAUAGUGGAAGCGGAUGGAGCCGACGUAUCCAGUGCGUAUUCAGCACUCGUCGGCGGUUGUUCUCCGUCGGGUGUUCCGCAAGGUCGCCCUGCGGUUACUGCUGCCGUUGGCGAGUGUGCAUUUGCGUACAGAGUGCGCCGAAUCGGUUGAGCACGCCGUUCGAAGUCGCCAAAGAGGACAUGCUUUCGGGCGUGAAUCCUGGGACGAUGGAGGACGGAUGUGCUCGACUGCUCAGUGGCGUUGGCCUACGUUGUGUUCGGUUUUGUUGUCGGCGUUCUGCGGUGACCACAUGUGGGCUCUGCUCUGCGUUUGCUUCGAAGCAGGACACUUCUCAACGCUGAUUCGGUGUCUAGUCGGUCACCCAUUUGACCCGUCUUGAAACACGGACCAAGGAGUUUAAGGUGUACGCAAGUCAAUGGGUGUUGAAACUCAGAGGCGUAAUGAAAGUGGGACACUUAGUGUCUGUGAUGUGACUCGCGUGCGAUUCGUUGUGCGUGAGGCAGCAUCGACCCAUGACUAAGACUUGUCUUGUUGUGGAGUCUGAGCGUACGCUUUGAGACCCGAAAGAUGGUGAACUAUGCCCGAACAGGACGAAGUCAGAGGAAACUCUGAUGGAAGUCCGAAGCGGUUCUGACGUGCAAAUCGAUCGUCUGAUUUGGGUAUAGGGGCGCAAGACUAAUCGAACCAUCUAGUAGCU